CCUACGGGAGGCAGCAGUGAGGAAUAUUGGUCAAUGGACGAGAGUCUGAACCAGCCAAGUAGCGUGAAGGAUGACUGCCCUAUGGGUUGUAAACUUCUUUUAUAUGGGAAUAAAAUGUUCCACGUGUGGGAGUUUGUAUGUACCAUAUGAAUAAGGAUCGGCUAACUCCGUGCCAGCAGCCGCGGUAAUACGGAGGAUCCGAGCGUUAUCCGGUUUUAUUGGGUUUAAAGGGAGCGUAGGUGGAUUGUUAAGUCAGUUGUGAAAGUUUGCGGCUCAACCGUAAAAUUGCUGUUGAAACUGGCAGUCUUGAGUACAGUAGAGGUGGGCGGAAUUCGUGGUGUAGCGGUGAAAUGCUUAGAUAUCACGAAGAACUCCGAUUGCGAAGGCAGCUCACUGGACUGCAACUGACACUGAGGCUCGAAAGUGUGGGUAUCAAACAGGAUUAGAUACCCUAGUAGUC
rnacentral:rRNA from 1 species